UACAUGAGCAUAGUUUUCUACAGAUGUUUAAUCCAGCUUACUAUGGCUUGGACAAUACUGAACCUGAAGUUCUCAGCUCUUAUUUGUCUAGGUUAGUGCAAAACACAUUUGAGGAUCUGGAAGACAGUGGAUGCAUCAAGAUGAAUGAAGACAAUGUAGAGCCAACGAUGCUGGGUUCAAUAGCAUCCCAGUAUUAUCUUAGCUACAUGA